GGCACGGGCCUGGUGGCCCAUCCGGUCUUCAAAACCGGCAGGGCCGGGCGAUCCCCGGCUUGGAAGGUUCGAUUCCUUCGCCGC
rnacentral:tRNA from 1 species